rnacentral:rRNA from 1 species
GACGAACGCUGGCGGCGUGCCUAAUACAUGCAAGUAGAACGCACAGUUUAUACCGUAGCUUGCUACACCAUAGACUGUGAGUUGCGAACGGGUGAGUAACGCGUAGGUAACCUGCCUGGUAGCGGGGGAUAACUAUUGGAAACGAUAGCUAAUACCGCAUAAUAUUAAUUAUUGCAUGAUAAUUGAUUGAAAGAUGCAACUGCAUCACUACCAGAUGGACCUGCGUUGUAUUAGCUAGUAGGUGAGGUAACGGCUCACCUAGGCGACGAUACAUAGCCGACCUGAGAGGGUGAUCGGCCACACUGGGACUGAGACACGGCCCAGACUCCUACGGGAGGCAGCAGUAGGGAAUCUUCGGCAAUGGACGAAAGUCUGACCGAGCAACGCCGCGUGAGUGAAGAAGGUUUUCGGAUCGUAAAGCUCUGUUGUAAGAGUAGAACGGGUGUGAGAGUGGAAAGUUCACACUGUGACGGUAUCUCACCAGAAAGGGACGGCUAACUACGUG